GCAUUUAUGGCAGAGUGGACGAUCGCACGGGACUCAUAAUCUCGCUCUGAAAAGACGCCGCUGGUUCGAAUCCAGCUUGAUGCA
rnacentral:tRNA from 1 species